rnacentral:rRNA from 1 species
GGCAUACGGCUCAGUAACGCGUACUCCAUUAACCUAUGGACGGGAAUAACCUCGGGAAACUGAGAAUCAUGCCCGAUAGAACAUUAUGCCUGGAAUGGUUUAUGUUCCAAAUGAUUUAUCGCCGUAGGAUGGGACUGCGGCCUAUCAGUUUGUUGGUGAGGUAAUGGCCCACCAAGACUAUUACAGGUACGGGCUCUGAGAGGAGUAGCCCGGAGAUGGGUACUGAGACACGGACCCAGGCCCUAUGGGGCGCAGCAGGCGAGAAAACUUUGCAAUGUGCGAAAGCACGACAAGGUUAAUCCGAGUGGUUUCUGCUAAAGAAACCUUUUGUCAGUCCUAGAAACACUGAUAAAUAAGGGGUGGGCAAGUUCUGGUGUCAGCCGCCGCGGUAAAACCAGCACCUCAAGUGGUCAGGAUGAUUAUUGGGCCUAAAGCAUCCGUAGCCGGCUCUGUAAGUUUUCGGUUAAAUCUGUACGCUCAACGUACAGGCUGCCGGGAAUACU